rnacentral:snRNA from 1 species
CACUCUCGCUUCCUCUUCAUCUAGUCGGAUAAAUCUUUCGCCUUUUACUAAAGAUUUCCGUGGAGGGGAAGCAUUUAAGAGAGUUGCACAAUUUUUUGUGCCGCCUCUAAGGGGUGGCU